AUGACUGAUGCGGGUCAAAGUGUAGUAUCUGUUCUGAUCAGCUUAAUAUCGGAUACGGGUUCUAUUUGGACCCAAGAUAUUUAACUUUUUUUUUUUGCAAGUUGACAGAGUGCUUGAAGACUGCUUCACCUUUGUUGCGGGUUGGCCCUUUAUUGCACUAUCUCCGGGACUGGCCCACGGGUU